rnacentral:rRNA from 1 species
AUUGAACGCUGGCGGCAUGCCUUACACAUGCAAGUCGAACGGCAGCGCGGGUGCUUGCACCUGGCGGCGAGUGGCGAACGGGUGAGUAAUACAUCGGAACGUGCCCUAGAGUGGGGGAUAACUAGUCGAAAGAUUAGCUAAUACCGCAUACGAUCUACGGAUGAAAGUGGGGGACCGCAAGGCCUCAUGCUCCUGGAGCGGCCGAUGUCUGAUUAGCUAGUUGGUGGGGUAAAGGCCUACCAAGGCGAUGAUCAGUAGCUGGUCUGAGAGGACGACCAGCCACACUGGGACUGAGACACGGCCCAGACUCCUACGGGAGGCAGCAGUGGGGAAUUUUGGACAAUGGGGGCAACCCUGAUCCAGCAAUGCCGCGUGUGUGUAGAAGGCCUUCGGGUUGUAAAGCACUUUUGUCAGGAACGAAACGGUGGGGGCUAAUACCUCCUGCUAAUGACGGUACCUGAAGAAUAAGCACCGGCUAACUACGUGCCAGCCGCCGCCGUAA